CCUACGGGUGGCAGCAGUGAGGAAUAUUGGUCAAUGGACGAGAGUCUGAACCAACCAAGUAGCGUGAAGGAUGACUGCCCUAUGGGUUGUAAACUUCUUUUAUAUGGGAAUAAAAUGUUCCACGUGUGGGAUUUUGUAUGUACCAUAUGAAUAAGGAUCGGCUAACUCCGUGCCAGCAGCCGCGGUAAUACGGAGGAUCCGAGCGUUAUCCGGAUUUAUUGGGUUUAAAGGGAGCGUAGGUGGAUUGUUAAGUCAGUUGUGAAAGUUUGCGGCUCAACCGUAAAAUUGCAGUUGAAACUGGCAGUCUUGAGUACAGUAGAGGUGGGCGGAAUGCGUGGUGUAGCGGUGAAAUGCUUAGAUAUCACGAAGAACUCCGAUUGCGAAGGCAGUUCACUGGACUGCAACUGACACUGAGGCUCGAAAGUGUGGGUAUCAAACAGGAUUAGAUACCCUAGUAGUC
rnacentral:rRNA from 1 species